AUCAACAAUACUAGUUUAAGGAAUUUUAAGAACUUUAGUGCAUAGGUAGACUGAUUUAGGGAGAACAUGCAAGAGAAUUACAGCUACAUGAUCUGAGGGUUUGAAGGUUUUAAGAAAACAAUAAUUUAUAAUAUUCUUCAGUUUUUCCUUUUUUAUUUUAAGAUUCAAAAGUCUAAUCAACGAAACCAUAAGAAUCAAAGGUAAAUUUAUCCAAUAUAUUCAAAUUAAAUCUAACAUGUAACAAUUCUGCAGCCAUUUUUCACAGCACCUUAAGGUAUAAAAAUGACUUUUUUACAAAAUGAGCUAGUUUAGAUAUCUACAAACAUUAUUGAUUACAUAUUUUUUAAGAGUUCUGAAAAAAUUCUUAAAAAUUCUUAGUUUCAAAAAACGUUUUACAAAGAGUUUCUCCUAAAAAAUUUGAUUGCGUUUUUCUCAAAUUACUUAAUAAGCAUCUUAAGGCUUUUUGAAAAACGAUUUGAGAGUGUUAGAUGGUAUUAUUUAAAAGUUUUUUUACUCAAUUUUAAUAGAUUAUCAUCAGUGGAAAAAAAAUUCACCAUAAAAAAAAGAGAUAAUUUACAUAAAACAGAUACUGUGAGUUUUACAGCUAUACCGUAAACUUUACUACUAUAGUAAAAAACUAAUAUCAAAUUGACUACUAAUAUAGUAGUACAUUAGUUAACAAUAUAAUUGAUUAUAAAUUAAUCUCUGAAAGAGUUAUGUCAAAUCUUUUCAGAAUUAAGUAAACUAAAUGAGGCACACAAGUGAAAUCAAUCCUUAGUCUUGUUUUCUGGAAUUUCACUACAGUUUAUUUCUGGAAUUUUUCUAUACUUUUACUAUCUAUGGUGUAGAGAUUUGCAUAAAUAAAUAAAUAAUUUUUUUUUUAUCUUUCAAAAUAAUUGGUUGCUAAUAUUCUUAUUAAAUAUUUUAUUGAUUUAAAAAUAGUUAAAUUCUUUUCAACAUGGUUUUUUCUGAUGAAAGCAAAAAGACUUCUUAUCCAAGUAGAGGCAGAUUAAAUACACCUCUUUGGAAAAUGUUAUGCUGUAGCGAUCAUCCUUCAUUUAGAUUUAAAAAAAUAUUCAUUGAUUAAGUCACAGGGUAUGGAAUUUUUACCACGAAACCAUUUGCUAUUAAAUAAGUUUUGUUAGAGUACAAAAGGAAAAUGAUUAAUUGAAAAGAAGCAGAAAAUCUUCACAAUAUAUAUUCUGUGGAAGGAAAAGGCUGCUAUAUUUUUGAUGUUGAUUUAAAUGGAAAAAAAUUAAGUAUUGAUGCUACAGAAUCUAUGUGUAUGGCAAGGUUUGUAAAUGACUCUCCAGAAACAUAUGCUAAUUGUCAGCCCGAGCAAUUUGUUUUAGAUGGUCUUUCUCAAAUAAUUUUAAUUUCAAAGAAAAAAAUACCUGCAGGAAUUGAACUUCAUUAUUACUAUUAUCAUAAGAAUCCUAGAAGUUUAUCUUGGAAAAGCAAUGUGAAAACUACUCACAACCGUUAACAAUAGAAGAAGUUGAGCAAAAACUUUAUGGUAAGGUGCUUCUGAAAUAAUUUUUUAAGACUGUAAACCUUUUGGUUUUAAUAUGAUUAGAACUAAAUUAUUAGUUAGGCAGUAAGCCACAGUAUACCAUAGGUAUAUAAAAAGUAAUUGAAAAGUGUUAAAUUUUAGUCUUUAG
rnacentral:lncRNA from 1 species